CCAAUAGUAUCUUUUUAGCCAACUCUAGUUCAUUUUAUUUUUUUGCCGAAGCUGGGCAUAAAGUGAAAUUUGUCUAGAUUAAGGAGUAGUCUUUGGGCACGCGAGGCGUUUUCUAAGUCCUAUAAGAUUCACGAAACAUAAUUCAUUUCCAUCCUCUAAAUUACUCAAUGCUCAUGCUUAAAAGAAGUCCUAAGACACACAUGACGUUAAACAUGUGGCUCUAACCGCGGACAAGGUCGUAAUCAAGAGAGAGAGCGCGCGCGCGCGCGCGAGUCCACGGUACACAACGUGUCAAAAGAUUUCCUCGAAAACAAGAAAAAAAAAUCGAAACAAACAAGAAACCGUGUUUUAUUAAAAUUAGUACAACCGGUGUUGAUCGUCCGGCC
rnacentral:lncRNA from 1 species